UAGUGGCGAACGGGUGAGUAACACGUGAGUAACCUGCCCUUGACUCUGGGAUAAGCGCUGGAAACGGCGUCUAAUACCGGAUACGACCUGCCCCGGCAUCGGGUGCGGGUGGAAAGUUUUUCGGUCAAGGAUGGACUCGCGGCCUAUCAGCUUGUUGGUGAGGUAAUGGCUCACCAAGGCGACGACGGGUAGCCGGCCUGAGAGGGUGACCGGCCCACACUGGGACUGAGGACACGGCCCAGACUCCUACGGGAGGCAGCAGUGGGGAAUAUUGCACAAUGGGCGCAAGCCUGAUGCAGCAACGCCGCGUGGGGGAUGACGGCCUUCGGGUUGUAAACCUCUUUUAGUAGGGAAGAAGGGCUUCGGCUUGACGGUACCUGCAGAAAAAGCACCGGCUAACUACGUGCCAGCAGCCGCGGUAAUACGUAGGGUGCAAGCGUUGUCCGGAAUUAUUGGGCGUAAAGAGCUCGUAGGCGGUUUGUCGCGUCUGCUGUGAAAACCCGAGGCUCAACCUCGGGCCUGCAGUGGGUACGGGCAGACUAGAGUGCGGUAGGGGAGAAUGGAAUUCCUGGUGUAGCGGUGGAAUGCGCAGAUAUCAGGAGGAACACCGAUGGCGAAGGCAGUUCUCUGGGCCGUUACUGACGCUGAGGAGCGAAAGCGUGGGGAGCGAACAGGAUUAGAUACCCUGGUAGUCCACGCCGUAAACGUUGGGAACUAGAUGUGGGGACCUUUCCACGGUCUCCGUGUCGCAGCUAACGCAUUAAGUUCCCCGCCUGGGGAGUACGGCCGCAAGGCUAAAACUCAAAGGAAUUGACGGGGGCCCGCACAAGCGGCGGAGCAUGCGGAUUAAUUCGAUGCAACGCGAAGAACCUUACCAAGGCUUGACAUAUACCGGAAACUUCCAGAAAUGGGUUGCCCCGCAAGGUCGGUAUACAGGUGGUGCAUGGUUGUCGUCAGCUCGUGUCGUGAGAUGUUGGGUUAAGUCCCGCAACGAGCGCAACCCUCGUUCUAUGUUGCCAGCACGUCAUGGUGGGGAACUUCAUAGGAGACUGCCGGGGUCAACUCGGAGGAAGGUGGGGAUGACGUCAAAUCAUCAUGCCCCUUAUGUCUUGGGCUUCACGCAUGCUACAAUGGCCGGUACAAAGGGCUGCGAUACCGUAAGGUGGAGCGAAUCCCAAAAAGCCGGUCUCAGUUCGGAUUGAGGUCUGCAACUCGACCUCAUGAAGUCGGAGUCGCUAGUAAUCGCAGAUCAGCAACGCUGCGGUGAAUACGUUCCCGGGCCUUGUACACACCGCCCGUCAAGUCAUGAAAGUCGGUA
rnacentral:rRNA from 1 species